CUGCUGCCUCCCGUAGGAGUCUGGACCGUGUCUCAGUUCCAGUGUGGGGGGGCCUUCCUCUCAGAACCCCUACGCAUCGUCGCCACGGUGGGCCGUUACCCCGCCGUCAAGCUAAUGCGCCGCAUGCCCAGCCGCCACCGGAUUCCUCCUUUCGCCCGGACCGGAUGCCCGGUCCGGGCGGCAUGGGGUAUUAGGCCGGGUUUCCCCGGGUUAUCCCCCUGUGGCGGGCAGGUUCCAUACGUGUUACUCACCCGUGCGCCGGUCGCCGGCAGGUGCAGG
rnacentral:rRNA from 1 species